rnacentral:rRNA from 1 species
UACGUAGGGACCAAGCGUUGUUCGGAUUUACUGGGCGUAAAGGGCGCGUAGGCGGCCAGCACAAGUCAGCUGUGAAAUCUCCGGGCUUAACUCGGAAAGGUCAACUGAUACUGUGCGGCUAGAGUGCAGAAGGGGCAACUGGAAUUCUCGGUGUAGCGGUGAAAUGCGUAGAUAUCGAGAGGAACACCUGCGGCGAAGGCGGGUUGCUGGGCUGACACUGACGCUGAUGCGCGAAAGCCAGGGGAGCGAACGGG